rnacentral:rRNA from 1 species
AUUGAACGCCGGCGACAGGCCUAACACAUGCAAGUCGAGCGGAUGAGGGAAGCUUGCUUCCCGAUUUAGCGGCGGACGGGUGAGUAAUGCCUAGGAAUCUGCCUAUUAGUGGGGGAUAACGUUCCGAAAGGAACGCUAAUACCGCAUACGUCCUACGGGAGAAAGUGGGGGAUCUUCGGACCUCACGCUAAUAGAUGAGCCUAGGUCGGAUUAGCUAGUUGGUGGGGUAACGGCUCACCAAGGCGACGAUCCGUAGCUGGUCUGAGAGGAUGAUCAGCCACACUGGAACUGAGACACGGUCCAGACUCCUACGGGAGGCAGCAGUGGGGAAUAUUGGACAAUGGGCGAAAGCCUGAUCCAGCCAUGCCGCGUGUGUGAAGAAGGUCUUCGGAUUGUAAAGCACUUUAAGUUGGGAGGAAGGGUUGUAAGCUAAUAUCUUGCAGCUUUGACGUUACCAACAGAAUAAGCACCGGCUAACUCUGUGCCAGCCGCCGCGGUAAGAC